AAAUUCGUCCUUGCUCAUGUUAGUAAGAACAAGGUCACACAGAGAAACUGUAAGAAACACUGUUGGCCAGACUGUCCUUUCUGCUGGAAUAGCCUCCACUGAACAUAGUACUACUACUACUACUUAAAAAAUCCAAACCAACAAAACCCAACCCUUUCGAGUGCACUCACUGAGAAGUUUGAUAUACAUUUUUCUGAAGAAAUUGAAGUGUUCAAAGCUGGCUGGCCAAUGGUGCACUCCAGCCAGGAAUAACGGAAUAGGACUCAGGCUCUUUUGUUGUUUUUUUGCAAGCAGGGCCAUGAUUAAGAGCAAUGGCUGGGGGCAUUCACAUUGUGCCACUUGAAGCAGAAUUCUUGGACAAGUGGAAGAUGAACUAAAGAGGAAGCAUUUGCCAAGAAUGUUUUAAUUAAUCAAGAACAAAAGCUGGAGGCUUGUGGCCAACUCCCUACCCAAUGGCAGUACUCCCAUCACCCACCAGGCAGGUUGUAGGACACUCAAGCCUUUGGGUU
rnacentral:ncRNA from 1 species